rnacentral:rRNA from 1 species
GACAGAGGGGGCAAGCGUUGCUCGGAAUUACUGGGCGUAAAGGGCGCGUAGGCGGUGCGGCAAGUCUUCUGUGAAAUCUCCGGGCUUAACUCGGAGUCUGCAGGGGAAACUGCCGCGCUUGAGUGUGGGAGAGGUGAGUGGAAUUCCCGGGUGUAGCGGUGAAAUGCGUAGAUAUCGGGAAGGAACACCUGUGGCGAAAGCGGCUCACUGGACCACAAC